rnacentral:rRNA from 1 species
GACGAACGCUGGCGGCGUGCUUAACACAUGCAAGUCGAGCGGUAAGGCCCUUUCGGGGGUACACGAGCGGCGAACGGGUGAGUAACACGUGGGUGACCUGCCCUUAGCUCUGGGAUAAGCCUGGGAAACUGGGUCUAAUACCGGAUAUGACUCCAUGACGCAUGUUGUGGGGUGGAAAGCCUUGUGCGGCUAGGGAUGGGCCUGCGGCCUAUCAGCUUGUUGGUGGGGUGAUGGCCUACCAAGGCGACGACGGGUAGCCGGCCUGAGAGGGCGACCGGCCACACUGGGACUGAGACACGGCCCAGACUCCUACGGGAGGCAGCAGUGGGGAAUCUUGCGCAAUGGGCGAAAGCCUGACGCAGCGACGCCGCGUGGGGAUGACGGCCUCGGUU